AGAGUUUGAUCCUGGCUCAGGAUGAACGCUGGCGGUAUGCUUAACACAUGCAAGUCGAACGAAAUCUUUCGGGAUUUAGUGGCGGACGGGUGAGUAACGCGUGAGAAUCUGGCUUCAGGUCUGGGACAACCACUGGAAACGGUGGCUAAUACCGGAUGUGCCGAGAGGUGAAAGGUUAACUGCCUGAAGAUGAGCUCGCGUCUGAUUAGCUAGUUGGAAGUGUAAUGGACUCCCAAGGCGACGAUCAGUAGCUGGUCUGAGAGGACGAUCAGCCACACUGGGACUGAGACACGGCCCAGACUCCUACGGGAGGCAGCAGUGGGGAAUUUUCCGCAAUGGGCGAAAGCCUGACGGAGCAAUACCGCGUGAGGGAGGAAGGCUCUUGGGUCGUAAACCUCUUUUCUCAGGGAAGAACAAAAUGACGGUACCUGAGGAAUAAGCAUCGGCUAACUCCGUGCCAGCAGCCGCGGUAAUACGGAGGAUGCAAGCGUUAUCCGGAAUGAUUGGGCGUAAAGCGUCCGCAGGUGGCUAUGUAAGUCUGCUGUUAAAGAGUCUAGCUCAACUAGAUAAGAGCAGUGGAAACUACAAGGCUAGAGUACGUUCGGGGCAGAGGGAAUUCCUGGUGUAGCGGUGAAAUGCGUAGAGAUCAGGAAGAACACCGGUGGCGAAGGCGCUCUGCUAGGCCGUAACUGACACUGAGGGACGAAAGCUAGGGGAGCGAAUGGGAUUAGAUACCCCAGUAGUCCUAGCCGUAAACGAUGGAUACUAGGCGUGGCUUGUAUCGACCCGAGCCGUGCCGUAGCUAACGCGUUAAGUAUCCCGCCUGGGGAGUACGCCGGCAACGGUGAAACUCAAAGGAAUUGACGGGGGCCCGCACAAGCGGUGGAGUAUGUGGUUUAAUUCGAUGCAACGCGAAGAACCUUACCAAGGCUUGACAUGUCGCGAAUCUCGGUGAAAGCUGAGAGUGCCUUCGGGAGCGCGAACACAGGUGGUGCAUGGCUGUCGUCAGCUCGUGUCGUGAGAUGUUGGGUUAAGUCCCGCAACGAGCGCAACCCUCGUUUUUAGUUGCCAGCAUUAAGUUGGGCACUCUAGAGAGACUGCCGGUGACAAACCGGAGGAAGGUGGGGAUGACGUCAAGUCAGCAUGCCCCUUACGCCUUGGGCUACACACGUACUACAAUGCUCCGGACAGAGGGCAGCAAGCAUGCGAAUGCAAGCAAAUCCCGUAAACCGGAGCUCAGUUCAGAUCGCAGGCUGCAACUCGCCUGCGUGAAGGAGGAAUCGCUAGUAAUUGCAGGUCAGCAUACUGCAGUGAAUUCGUUCCCGGGCCUUGUACACACCGCCCGUCACACCAUGGAAGCUGGUAGUGCCCGAAGUCAUUACUCCAACCAUUCGUGGAGGAGGAUGCCUAAGGCAGGACUGGUGACUGGGGUGAAGUCGUAACAAGGUAGCCGUACCGGAAGGUGUGGCUGGAUCACCUCCUU
rnacentral:rRNA from 2 species